rnacentral:rRNA from 1 species
UAUGUAGGGUGCGAGCGUUGUCCGGAAUUAUUGGGCGUAAAGGGCUCGUAGGCGGUUUGUCACGUCGGGAGUGAAAACUCGGGGCUUAACCCCGAGCCUGCUUCCGAUACGGGCAGACUAGAGGUAUGCAGGGGAGAACGGAAUUCCUGGUGUAGCGGUGAAAUGCGCAGAUAUCAGGAGGGACACCGGUGGCGAAGGCGGUUCUCUGGGCAUUACCUGACGCUGAGGAGCGAAAGCGUGGGGAGCGAACAGG